rnacentral:rRNA from 1 species
AGGGCACCACCAGGAGUGGAGCCUGCGGCUUAAUUUGACUCAACACGGGGAAACUUACCCGGCCUGGACACUGGAAGGAUUGACAGAUUGAGAGCUCUUUCUUGAUUCAGUGGGUGGUGGUGCAUGGCCGUUCUUAGUUGGUGGAGCGAUUUGUCUGGUUAAUUCCGAUAACGAACGAGACUCUAGCCUAUUAAAUAGGCUCUCGGCUUUUAAACGCCGGGAGGACUUCUUAGAGGGACAGGUAGCGGUUCAGCCGCACGAAAGAGAGCAAUAACAGGUCUGUGAUGCCCUUUGUUGUCCGGGGCCGCACGCGCGCUACACUGAAGAGAUCAGCGUGCUUUACGUUCCUGCUCCGACCGGAGUGGGGAACCCAGUGAACCUUCUUCGUGAUUGGGAUAGAAGAUUGUAAUUAUUCUUCUUGAACGAGGAAUUCCCAGUAAAUGCGAGUCAUAAGCUCGCGUUGAUUACGUCCCUGCCCUUUGUACACACCGCCCGUCGCUACUACCGAUUGAACGAUUU